rnacentral:tRNA from 3 species
GGGGGCGUAGCUCAAUUGGUUAGAGUCCCAGACUGUCGAUCUGGUUGUUGCGGGUUCGAGUCCCGUCGCUCCCGCCA